GUCCCCCCCCCCUCCCAGUGCCCCUUAAAGGGACCGCUCACCCUCCAGCGCGGCGUUGGCGCCCUGCAGGUGCCCGGCCACCAGCUGAUCAUCGCGCAGCGCGGGCGCGCGGCACGGCACCGAUCCGGCAGCCUCUGCGUGGAGGAGGAGGAGGGCGAUGAGAAGCGCUGCUUCAUCGAGGAGAUCCCCGAUGAGACCAUGGUUAUAGGUG
rnacentral:lncRNA from 1 species